rnacentral:rRNA from 1 species
UACGUAGGGGGCAAGCGUUGUCCGGAUUUAUUGGGCGUAAAGAGCGUGUAGGCGGCCAGGUAGGUCUGCUGUGAAACUCGAGGCUCAACCUCGAGAUGUCGGCGGAAACCAUCUGGCUAGAGUCCGGAAGAGGAGAGUGGAAUUCCUGGUGUAGCGGUGAAAUGCGCAGAUAUCAGGAAGAACACCCGUGGCGAAGGCGGCUCUCUGGGACGGUACUGACGCUGAGACGCGAAAGCGUGGGGAGCGAACAGG